AACGAACGCUGGCGGCAUGCCUAACACAUGCAAGUCGAACGAAGGCUUCGGCCUUAGUGGCGCACGGGUGCGUAACACGUGGGAAUCUGCCCUUUGCUUCGGAAUAACAGUUAGAAAUGACUGCUAAUACCGAAUAAUGUCGCAAGACCAAAGAUUUAUCGGCAAAGGAUGAGCCCGCGUAGGAUUAGCUAGUUGGUGGGGUAAAGGCUCACCAAGGCGACGAUCCUUAGCUGGUCUGAGAGGAUGAUCAGCCACACUGGGACUGAGACACGGCCCAGACUCCUACGGGAGGCAGCAGUGGGGAAUAUUGGACAAUGGGCGAAAGCCUGAUCCAGCAAUGCCGCGUGAGUGAUGAAGGCCUUAGGGUUGUAAAGCUCUUUUACCAGGGAUGAUAAUGACAGUACCUGGAGAAUAAGCUCCGGCUAACUCCGUACCAGCAGCCGCGGUAACAC
rnacentral:rRNA from 1 species